rnacentral:tRNA from 1 species
GGUGUAGCGUAGUCCGGUCAUCGCGCCUGCUUUGGGAGCAGGAGGUCACAGGUUCGAAUCCUGUUACC